CCUAGUAACGGCGAGUGAAGCGGCAACAGCUCAAAUUUGAAAUCUGGCCUUUGGUCCGAGUUGUAAUUUGUAGAGGAUGAUUUUGGUGCGGUACCUUCCGAGUUCCCUGGAACGGGACGCCUUAGAGGGUGAGAGCCCCGUACGGUUGGAUGCCUAGCCUAUGUAAAUCUCCUUCGACGAGUCGAGUAGUUUGGGAAUGCUGCUCUAAAUGGGAGGUAAAUUUCUUCUAAAGCUAAAUACAAGCCAGAGACCGAUAGCGCACAAGUAGAGUGAUCGAAAGAUGAAAAGCACUUUGAAAAGAGGGUUAAACAGCACGUGAAAUUGUUGAAAGGGAAGCGCUUAUGACCAGACUUUUUCUAGGCGGAUCAUCCGGUGUUUUCACCGGUGCACUUCGCCUGGUUUAGGCCAGCAUCGGUUUCUAUAGGGAGAUAAAAGCUUCAGGAAUGUGACUCCUUCGGGAGUGUUAUAGCCUGUUGUAUAAUAUCCUUACGGGGACCGAGGUACGCGCUCUGCAAGGAUGCUGGCAUAAUGGUCAUCAGCGACCCGUCUUGAAACACGGACCAAGGAGUCGAACAUUUGUGCGAGUGUUUGGGUGUUAAACCCUCACGCGUAAUGAAAGUGAACGGAGGUGAGAGCCUUUUAGGUGCAUCAUCGACCGAUCCUGAUGUCUUCGGAUGGAUUUGAGUAGGAGCAUAACUGUUCGGACCCGAAAGAUGGUGAACUAUGCGUGGAUAGGGUGAAGCCAGAGGAAACUCUGGUGGAGGCUCGCAGCGGUUCUGACGUGCAAAUCGAUCGUCAAAUCUGCGCAUGGGGGCGAAAGACUAAUCGAACCAUUAAACCAGCGGUAAAUAUAUUUACUAGGUGGUUAAGAGGGCGCCCGCGAGGGCAUAUAAAACCUAGGCUUGGGAUAGCUUACCCGGUAGCUGCCCUGUAGCUACCCUGUACGCCGUUCCAGGCCGACACCGCUAAAUUGCGGGGACAUCCUUUAAGACUCCAGGCUACCGCGGCGCGCUGAGAAGUGUGGUCGCACCGAGAAUAAUGCUCUUGGGUAUGGUAAAAACGCCUGGCAGUUGGGACGACCUGCAGCCAACCCCGAUGUCUAGGGGAGAGUUCACAGACUAAACAGCGGUGGGUUAGCUUAUAGCUAGCCUAAGAUAUAGUCG
rnacentral:rRNA from 1 species